AUUGAACGCUGGCGGCAGGCUUAACACAUGCAAGUCGAGCGAGAGGCGGACGGGUGAGUAAUGUCUGGGAAACUGCCUGAUGGAGGGGGAUAACUACUGGAAACGGUAGCUAAUACCGCAUACCAUCAGAUGUGCCCAGAUGGGAUUAGCUAGUAGGUGGGGUAACGGCUCAACUAGGCGACGAUCCCUAGCUGGUCUGCGAGGAUGACCUGCCACCUUGGAACUGAGACACGGUCCAGACUCGUACGGGAGGUAGCAGUGGGGAAUAGGGCACAAUGGGCGAAAGCCGGAUGCAGCCAUGCCGCGUGUAUGAAGAAGGCCUUCGGGUUGUAAAGUACUUUCAGCGGGGAGGCGUUACUCGCAGAAGAAGCACCGGCUAACUCCGGGCCAGCAGCCGCGGUAAUAC
rnacentral:rRNA from 1 species